rnacentral:rRNA from 1 species
CGGGGGGGGGUGCUAUACAUGCAAGUCGAGCGCGGGAAGCGAGUGGAAGUCCUUCGGGACGGAUACUCGUGGAACGAGCGGCGGACGGGUGAGUAACACGUGGGCAACCUACCUGUAAGACCGGAAUAACCCCGGGAAACCGGGGCUAAUGCCGGGUAACCAUUCGGUUCUCCUGAACCGAAUGUAAAAGGAUGGCUUCUUGCUAUCGCUUACAGAUGGGCCCGCGGCGCAUUAGCUAGUUGGUAAGGUAACGGCUUACCAAGGCGACGAUGCGUAGCCGACCUGAGAGGGUGAUCGGCCACACUGGGACUGAGACACGGCCCAGACUCCUACGGGAGGCAGCAGUAGGGAAUCUUCCGCAAUGGACGAAAGUCUGACGGAGCAACGCCGCGUGAACGAUGAAGGUCUUCGGAUCGUAAAGUUCUGUUGUGAGGGAAGAACAAGGAUCGUGCGAACAGAGCGGUCCCUUGACGGUACCUCACGAGGAAGCCCCGGCUAACUACGUGCCAGCAGCCGCGGUAAUACGUAGGGGGCAAGCGUUGUCCGGAAUUAUUGGGCGUAAAGCGCACGCAGGCGGUUCCUUAAGUCUGAUGUGAAAGCCCGUGGCUCAACCACGGAGGGCCAUUGGAAACUGGGGAACUUGAGAACUGAAGAGGAGAGUGGAAUUCCACGUGUAGCGGUGAAAUGCGUAGAUAUGUGGAGGAACACCAGUGGCGAAGGCGACUCUCUGGUCGGUUUCUGACGCUGAGGUGCGAAAGCGUGGGUAGCAAACAGGAUUAGAUACCCUGGUAGUCCACGCCGUAAACGAUGAGUGCUAGGUGUUAGGGGGCUUCCACCCCUUAGUGCUGAAGUUAACGCAUUAAGCACUCCGCCUGGGGAGUACGGCCGCAAGGCUGAAACUCAAGGAAUUGACGGGGGCCCGCACAAGCGGUGGAGCAUGUGGUUUAAUUCGAAGCAACGCGAGACCUUACCAGUCUUGACAUCCUUGGCUACUUCUAGAGAUAGAGUCCCUUCGGGACAGUGACAGUGUGCAUGAUGUCGUCAGCUCGUGUCGUGAGAUGUUGGGUU